UGAGUAAAAGAACAAUUAUAUUAAUGCCCAAACUUAACCCAAAGCAGUUUGUUCUCAGGAGUGUUUAAUUCAGUUAUAAGCAUGGCUGAGUUCUCACAAAUUGAAAAAAACUUAUAGCACGUUAUACAGUAGGAGAAAGUUAUUAUGAAUUUAAUUAGGUACUUACAGUAGAGAAUACAGCACACAAGUGAGCUGCAGAAGUGCAAAAUAAAAGCUGCGAUUGAUGAAGAGGGGUGAUAGAGUUUUCGGUUCAGGCUGCUGUCAUGCUCUGGCAUUAAUAUGUAAAUAUAUGUACAUGCACACAAUAAUAUCGUCCUCAGUUGAACUUUGUUGUCCCCUCAAGGUCACAAUAAAAUCUUUGCCUACAGUGUUUAUUCAUAGGAAAUAUAAUUUGAAGGAUACGGAGCUGCCUUUAAAAUUACACUGUAAUACUGUCAGAUUCCAGAAAGACCACAGACACGCUUGGUCCUCCUUUUAGAGGGGGUGGUAAGUUUGUGCAAACAGUUGUCAGUAUUCCAUUGCACAAUUCGGUAAUUUCAUCAGACAGCAAAAAUGUCAUGGACCAGAUUCUUGGGGAGGUUGCAAGGAAAACUGUUUUUCACUUGUCCUGAGCUAUGUGCUGGACUCAAGUUAAGAUACUGGAAAUGCUGCCAUUGAGGGAUUGUUCUAACAGCAAUCAGACUGUACUUCACUCCUGCAGGGUUGUUGCAACUGUCCAAAACAAGUCCUUCAUGGUUGUGUUGAAGCCCCUCCAACUGGUAUGUCUGUAAGAAUAUUCCUUAACCCUAAAAGGAAACGAAAAGUGGCAGCUGCAAGUGGUGUGAUUUCUUUUUCCUGAAGCCUUGAAAUUGCCACGUAGCCUGCAAGUAGUUGACUUUUUUGAAAGAUCAAGGGAUUUUGUAUGAUUAAAUGGUACAAUAAAUGGAACUACAGAAAGAGGAAGAUAACCUUCUCUCAUAAAGUUCAAAUGGUGCCCAGCAUAGGGAAUAGAAAGCGUAUGUUAGGUUCCGAUAGGCUUAUUCUAAAAACACCAAAGAGGAGGCCAAAACAAGAGUUUGGGGAACAAUUUACAAGGUGUCUGAAAACUAUUAAAGCCUGUUUUUCAGGCGUCAGAAACAAGAACCUUGCAGUAACACUAGAAACUGAUUAAUUUAUAGCAGUGGCACUUGAAGAAAAUAAGGUCACAGAACAAAAAAGCAAUGCUUUUGGGUAACUGUGCUUACAAUAUAGGAGACUGGACAACUUCACUCAGUCCAGCUCUGCUCCCUUGCAAAAGGAAACUGCCUUAAAACAAGCUGUUGAGAGCUUGGAGGUGGAGGGAGGGAGCAGAAUGAACCACAGACCCCCAGGUCAAAUGUCAUUUUCCUCAUCGAUGACAUGCGAAUGAAAUGGCUGAGCUAUCUGCGACAUAUAUUGCCCAGGGCUGCUUCACUGUAGGGCAGUUGGGUAUAGCUCCAAGGUGAGUCCAGAGAGCUCCCCACCAGCAGGCUUGAUGGCACACUCCUGCUUUCUGCAAGUGAGUCACAGAGCAGGUGGACUAGGGGGAUGCAGUUGACAUGGUUAACCAAAACCCUUGUUAAAGGUUCUUAAAUCCUAGUCUUCAAUAAGAUAAGGAAGGUCUUUGGACAGAGAAAUUCAUUUAAAAUGGAGGGCACCAGAAAUAAGGGAGUGGUGAUAAAUGUUAGUUUUCUGCAUUUGUGUGAGUCUUCCUUCUGGAAUCUGUGCAGUUGGAUACACUGCUGAUGUUAAAUUCUCUAUAAAAGGGAAUGGAUAGAAAAAAGAGUAACUUUUAAAGUAAGAUUAUUCAGGAUCAUAGAAACAAGUCUGACAUAGAGUUGAAGAGAGAUUUCAUGCUAGAAAGGCAAAAAGGACAAAUGAAUUUCAGUGUAUUUAAAAACUCCAGUAAUGAAGCAAAGUAUUUGCCCUACUAUGAAGGACAAGUAACUGAUCUGUGAUUCUGAAUAUAUGCAUCAAAAAAACAGGUAGUUGUAUUAUUUUUCAGGGAAACUAACCUCUAACGUGAUAAAUAACAUACGGUUCUGGUCACUGUAGUUGUGAUUAGUCUCCAUUUCCAAAGAUAUGGAUACCAUAAUACACAUGAAACUAAACCAGAAUUGUGAUAGUGGCACACUAAAAAGGUUUUUAUAGUUCAUAAUAUAUCAGAUUAUCGUAUUUACCAAAUGACAUAAAGGGCAAAUAUCAACAACAUUCCAUCAAGACUGUACCCAGCAUAAUCUAAUUUAAAGUAAGUAUGAUACAAAAACCAGUGCAGAAUGGGAAAGAACAAUCAAAGGAAAAAUUACAAUCUAGGAGGCAAGUGUAAUGUAAGAAGAAAGAAAAAUCCUGCAAUAUAGUUGCUUUACAUGGUUGCUGCUGCCACAGAAUUACUUCUCAUCUAAGAAGAACCAAAAGAACAGAUUAAUUCAUUGUCAAAUCAAAUCUUCCCUCGAGACUACACAUAACAUUAAAAAUGGGAACAGUGGAUUUUUAGCGAGUUCAACUGAACCAGAGUGCUGCAGACUCCAGAGAGGCCAUCUAACUGCUGUAAAUUCUCUUUUUCAAGAGCACUGUGAGGCAUACCAUUCUCAGCAUUCCCUUUUCUGUCGCCUCUUACAUGAGAAGACUUCUUUUAAAAUAUAUUCUUUGUUUGGUCUUCAACUGCAGGAAUGAAAGUUUUUGUUUCAGAUGAAGCAUAUGCACUCUAAAUAUGCGUUGCAUGUUGGAUUCCGUUCCAACAUGUUUAUGGGUUUCUUUUUUAUCCUAAUUUAAACCUUUAAGACCAAGCUUUCCCAAUAAGCUCAAGAGGGUGCAUGUAGCAAAGGAGAGAACGUCCCAGCAAUUCUGUUAAUUUAUAUUUACUCUCUAGAAAUGAUUGACAGGUGUUAAAGUUUAUUUUGGACAAUGGGCUACUUCAUUUUGUAGGGAGAUUCAUCUUUAGUCAUGCCUUUGAUAUGCAUGUAAGGUGAGUCACUAUCACCUGUUCUUUAUUCACAGUGUAGAGGUAGAGGAGAUGAUCUAUUACCUCCUGUGUAGCAUUAGUUUCUUCUCAGCUUCUGGCAGAUCUUCGAUAUUUUAACCAAGAAAUAAAACACUUGCAUCUAACCAGAAAAGAAUUGCUUUCAAAAAUUGGUGGGCUUUUCCUGGUAAUUUUACUUAUUAAACUUAUGUAGCAAAAGCUUUUAAUGUUUUAAGUGGGUUGUGAACAUAAUUUACCACUUUGGGUUUAAUUAAUUGUUGAUAUCCAAAUCUUGUCCAAUAUAAUUUGCUUUGAAAGAAGCACUGCAGCAAAUGGAGUACAUGAAGAUAUUAUUCUGGGACUUGAGAGCCAUGUUCUAUUAAAAAAGAAAAAAGAAUGCUUGAAGCAAGACCCCUCCAAUUUCCUGUCCUCUUUGAUCUACAUGCUCUUACAUCUUAAAUGGUGUUUUGGCUCUAAGUGAGCAUUCAGAGGUUAAAAAAUGGCAAACUACACAGCUAAUCUGUAUAUCACUGCUCUAUCCUCUGUUCCAUCUUUCUCCUCCAACCACAGAUGCAUGGAUUCUUCAGUGAAUGUGUAGUAUAUGUGUGUGUGGAUAAUUGCAGUUAAUUUCCUCAUCACUGGCAUUUUUUCCACAGAACUUGUUUCGAUGUAGAUGUGUGGUAUAUAUUUAAUAGGAAACUAGUCACAGUGGUUUUCUACCUUACUGUUCCACGUGUUGCUUUAUGUCUCACAGUAUAAUGUUCAAUGCUAUUCUGAAAUAAAAAUUAUUUCUAAAUAGAUGUUUGU